GUGCGAUUUAUUCUCCUACGGGGCGGGGCUUCGCCUCUCGAGGCGGGGUCUUUGGGCAAGGGGUGGGGCCGUAGGGGGCCGUACCGCAGGUCGGGUGGGAGGGUCAGUUAACCCAGCAAGCCUGUGAAGGAUGGACUCUGGUCGUUCUCUGGUCACAGCUACCUGAGUUACACCACCAUCAUGCUGGAGUCCCAUGGGGGCGCGUCCCCUUCUCCUGAAUCCCUCUCUUGAACGAGCCCAGAUGCGGGCCCGAGGUGCAUUGAGCUGUCAAACCUGACUGCUUUGGCUCACCAGGAAUACUGUUCCCUUGGUCUGGCUUGUACAGAGAGGGGCUAUACCCUGCAGAGGACCUGGACUGUCCAGGAUUAGGCUCAGGGCUCAGUACUGGUAACAGGCGUGGCACCAUGCCACCAUGAAAAGGUAGAGGAUGGCCCCCUGGACCCUGCCGUUACCAGCGUGUCCUUGUCCUCCCCUCACUCUCGCCGAGGGCUCCCUUCAGGCAGAGGUGAGGUCAGGGUUAGAGAAGGGUAGGAAAAGGAAGACGAAAGGAAUGAACCUCUUCUGGGUGGGUCAGUUUAACACACAACUGUGUGACAGAGACGCACGUGCUAACCGGAUGAGAUGCCAGAAAGGGCUACCCCACCCUGGGCAGAUGGAGCUCUGAGGCCCCCGCUUGGACACUGUGAAACCUCCACGUAUGAGGGCGGAAUGCUACUCCUUCCAGAAUACGGCGUAGGGCUCGGCUCCUCGGCUGGCCAGCCCCGAGGGAAGGGAGGGAAGGAUGGGGGCGACGCGGGGACGCUGACCCGCAGGUAAACCCCUUGGGGGAUCGACCCCAGGCGCGAUCGUCAGGCCUGGAGUGCAUCGAGGGGCGGCUAGAAGACUGGCCCCGCCCCAUGGACCCCG
rnacentral:lncRNA from 1 species